CCUACGGGAGGCAGCAGUGAGGAAUAUUGGUCAAUGGGCGCGAGCCUGAACCAGCCAAGUAGCGUGAAGGAUGACUGCCCUACGGGUUGUAAACUUCUUUUAUAAAGGAAUAAAGUGAGGCACGUGUGCCUUUUUGUAUGUACUUUAUGAAUAAGGAUCGGCUAACUCCGUGCCAGCAGCCGCGGUAAUACGGAGGAUCCGAGCGUUAUCCGGAUUUAUUGGGUUUAAAGGGUGCGUAGAUGGGUUGUUAAGUCAGUUGUGAAAGUUUGCGGCUCAACCGUAAAAUUGCAAUUGAUACUGGCAGACUUGAGUACAGUAGAGGUAGGCGGAAUUCGUGGUGUAGCGGUGAAAUGCUUAGAUAUCACGAAGAACUCCGAUUGCGAAGGCAGCUUGCUAGACUGCCACUGACGUUGAUGCUCGAAAGUGUGGGUAUCAAACAGGAUUAGAUACCCCUGUAGUC
rnacentral:rRNA from 1 species